rnacentral:lncRNA from 1 species
GAAUAUGUAUUACAUUGAUACCUUCGGCUUGCUUGAAGGUGCUGACAUGAGAAUGAUUACAAUCCAGCGUGAACAGUAUGGUACUACUGUUCAUCUAUUUAUAGGCAUGGGACACGGCCCAGAUAAAAUUACAUUUAUGUCCCUGACAUUUACUCAUUACCAUGACAUGAAACAUUAUGGACUAAACAGUCUUUUUUCCCUUUCAGCCAGCAUCAUCUUCAGUCUUCAUCACCAUUAUAAGACGAAGCUAAUGCUCUUUGGCAAUAGCUUCAACGUUCGUUUUUACCAUCUUCAGAUCACAUCUUCAUCCCGUAUGCCUUCAUUAUAGGGAAGAGCUUCCAUUCCAAAGACAAAGCUCUCUACAACAACCUAUAUCAUGCUGGAAACCAUUGGUUAAUCAUGUUUUUGAGGACCUUUGGAAUAGGGAGGCCCUCAACAGGCGUAUGGUUAGGUUAAUCAACAGAUUAUUCACAAGCACAAACCCUUCCAAAGAUUACAAGGCUUCAACAGGUUGCAAUAUAAAAAAAAUAGUAAAUCAGCAAAUCAAAAUGGUCAAUGCCAAAAUCCUUGCAAUGAUCAGGUUGCAGGUUUAUUAUCAGAUCAGCACAAGAGUAACUUAUAGUUCUCAAUUUCAGGUUGCAAGACAAGAAGUAUAUUUAAAGGAACAUGUAUAUUUUAGGUCUCAGCCUAAUCUGUUAUAGUAAUUCAAUUAUAAUUUUGUACAACCUUCUCCAUAGUAAGAAAUUAAAUUCUCUGCAAUGCACAGAUGUAAAGGACAUUUUUGGAUUAUUUCCAAUUCUAUCUACAUGAUGACAAAUCAGAGUGGGGUAUCGGGUACCUGGAAUGCAAGACUAGCCUUAGUGCACGAUGCGGCUACCGUGCUCCUGCGACAUGAACUUCUCCCCCUCCAGCGCACGAAUUGUGGGCCAUCCUCUCUCGCCAUCCUCGUCCAUAGACCACCGCACAAACAUGUGAGAGCGGGACGAUGCAGAGCGUGAAUAGACCAACGGCGAGCGGGGGAGGAGAUGACAGGAGACAAGACGAUAGAGUGGGUGCUCCCUGCGUUUGCCGUACUCACGCUCGGUGACUCCUCGUCACCGCAGCCACGGGUUAGUCCGC